ensembl:lncRNA
AAACUAAACUAGCAAACAAUUGGUAAAAACUAAUUAAAACUGAUAUAAAAUUGAAAAUCUGAAGUCAAAACUAAAUUAAAAUAAAAACUAAUGAAAAUUGCAAAACUAUUAAAACCCUGGCACAGACUGAACGGUAAAACAGAAACAGAAAGGUAAGCAGCAGGGCUGGUGACUCACUCCCCUCUAAAUUCCCCACACGGGUAAUUCAGUUUCAGCAUGUAUCUUUCCGUUUCACUCCGGAUUCUUGCUGCUGCUUCGUGGUCUUCAUGCUUCUGUUAAACAUGGCUUAUUUUAAAAUCCUUCUGGUUUUGUUUCUAAUUUCUGAGUUAACAGCUCUUCAGCAGGAUGUUCAGGCAAAACCUGGAGCAUACGUCACUCUUCAGUGUGAGAUUUCCACAGAUGAAAUAAUCUCAGUGCUGAAGUGGAGCAGAGCUGACCUGAACACAGACGGCUACGUCUACUUCUACAGGAACAAACGAUUCUAUGAAAACUACCAACAUCCAUCUUUUCAUGGCCGAGUGAAGCUGAGGGACCCAGAGAUGAAGGAUGGAGACGUUUCUCUGAUUCUGAAGAACGUUGCGUUUAAUGACACUGGGAUGUAUGAGUGUCACAUAGCUGUGAGGAACCCUGUGAGAAGUAAAAGAGUUCACACUGAGAUCAGUCUCUUCAUCAACCUCACAGUCACAGGUGAAACACAUGAAAGCGUGUUGGAGAAAACAGUCAUGGAAAAACGAGGUGCAGAUGGAAACAUGGAUGAUGCUGAAAGGGUCGGAUCUCCAUCUCUUCAGGUUGUUGUUCCUGUUGCUGUUUUUGUUGCUCUUGUUGCCGUUGCUUUUGGGGUACACCGAAAAACUCAUCAACAUAAGAAGCAACAUCCAGUCAAGCUUCCUACUGAAGACUCUGCUGAAGUGUAAUGAAGCUGCUACAGAAACAUAUAAGCUUUCUUUAUGAAAACUAAAGUACUGAAAAGCACGUUGUUACAGCAUUAACACAUUUUAUUACAUUUAUUGAUAUACAGCUUUUAACAAAUUUAUUAAACCACAUUCGUUAACCAAGAAAAACCACCCAGCAUCACAAACAGCUGAAUUCACCUUCAGAAUAUUCACAUCUAAUCCUAAAGUAUGUGCGUAAAUGCAUUCACACACACACACACUGCAGGCCACCAUCUCCAGUCUACUUCAGUUUUAGUCUUUUUCUGGUCUGAGUAAUUUUACACUUAACGUCAGUAUUAUUAUUUUUCUUAUUCUUCCAUUUUGUUUGUGUUUUUUUAAAUUGAAGUUACAAAACUUUGAGGAAAAACACAGAUGCCUUUCUUUUGACGGAAAUAUUGAUAUUUUUAUAGUGAUCAGGUCAUGUACUGUGCUAUGGUUUUAUUUUAUUCCAGGUUGUUUAAAUUUAGCUGCUGUAGCACUGAGAU